AUGUAUGAACACCAAGAAUACGUCUCGGUAUUUCUUGAGCUACUGACGUUGGAGGCCGACGUAAGGGCGGGCUUCGACAUGAGUCUGGUCGUCCCGUCGGACCCGGCCACCACCAAGUUGAUCCAUCGGGUGGCUCCGAUGUUUUUCGGCCACAUACAACCCGACUGGGGGCUUCCCAAGUUCAUGAAGAGGGCAGUCUUGGAAUCAUCACCGUACCUGGAGGAUGACCGCCUCGUGAUCAAGUGCGAGGUCACUGUCGUCAGGCAACCACAGGUGGAGGAGACCUCGCCGGACUUCGAGGUCCAGGUGCCGCCGUCUGAUCUGUACGACAAUCUUGGGAAACUCUUAGAAUCAGGGGAGGAAGCAGAUGUAAUUUUCAAGGUUAAAAGGGAGUCUUUUUCUGCCCACAAGAUUGUGCUUGCAAUGCGGUCGCCGGUGUUCAAGGUGGAGCUUUAUGGGCCGAUGAGCGACAAAAGAACAGGGAGGAUAACCGUCAAGGAUAUGCAGCCUGCUGUAUUCAAGGCGUUGCUUCAGUUUAUCUACACUGAUUCGUUGCCUUCCAUGCUUGACCUCUGCGACAAUGACCAGAAAGAAAUGGUCAAGCAUUUGCUUGUGGCUGCAGAUAAGUAUGCCAUGGAAAGACUGAAGCUAAUCUGCGAAGGCAUUCUUUGCAGGAGUCUCGACGUUGAUUCUGUGGCGACGACAUUAGCUCUGGCUGACCAGCAUCAUUGCGGCAAUCUCAAAAAUGCUUGUGUCCAAUUUAUCCUCACGGCGAAUAGAAUGGAUGCUGUGCUGGCAAGCAAAGGCUACACACACCUUAAACGAUCUUGUCCUUCUGUCAUAGUUGAUAUCUUUGAGAGGGCAACUAAGUCUCGCAAGAUUCUGUAA
rnacentral:rRNA from 1 species